UACGGAGGGUGCAAGCGUUAUCCGGAUUCACUGGGUUUAAAGGGUGCGUAGGCGGACAGGUAAGUCAGUGGUGAAAUCUCUGGGCUUAACUCAGAAACUGCCGUUGAUACUAUUUGUCUUGAAUAUUCUGGAGGUAAGCGGAAUAUGUCAUGUAGCGGUGAAAUGCUUAGAUAUGACAUAGAACACCGAUAGCGAAGGCAGCUUACUACACUAUUAUUGACACUGAGGCACGAAAGCGUGGGGAUCAAACAGG
rnacentral:rRNA from 1 species